AGUCUGAAAUCCACCAAGCUCUUCAUCUUCCUCAUCUCGUUCGGAAGCACAGAUAUCCGAUUGCCGCUGAUAUCCAGCUUCACGAGCCUCAGAGAUCAUUUAUCUACACUUUUCCAACUGGCAUCGACCUGGUAAUUACUAAAUGCGCUGAGAGAGUUGUUUUCAAGCAGCGAGCAGGUUUCCCCGCGUUGAAAAGGUGGGUCUACCUACCUAUAGGCAGGUGCACCAGCAAGUUGCUCCUCAGGUCUAGAGACCGGAGCCGCGCAAGGUCGCCCAU